GCUCCGGUGGCACAGUGGAUAGCGCGGUCCCCUCCUAAGGGACAGGUCGGCGGUUCGAAUCCGCCCCGGGGCACCA
rnacentral:tRNA from 1 species